rnacentral:misc_RNA from 1 species
UUUUUUUUUUUUCCUUUUUCUUUCUUAUUCAUCUUAUCUUGCUUCUUUACUUCUACCCGAUCUGGCAUAAUCUUUAUCUUUUUUCUGUUGUGCCUUUGUUUAUUCUCUACUGCUGUUUUUUUCCCUUUUCUGUCAUUUUUUUUCCUUUUCUGUUUGGUGUCGUUCACAAAAUUAUACAAAUCAUCUAUUGCUCCAUCCUACUCACAAAUUUUUUUUUAAUCUCCCAAUACAGACCUAAUAGGUGCCAUCCAUAUAUGGGCAUGGCUUGGAUAACUGUGAUAAAACAAUAAUUAUACAGUUAAUCAAAAUUUUGUUAAUAGAGUGGGAUGCAUGGGUAGUCUCAUAAGAAAAUAAAUAUAAGCAAACCCACUAUAAAAUUAGCAGUUGCAAUAGCACAACAGCAGUAGAAUAGAUAUAAGAAAACCCACUGUUAAUGAUGGGUUCAAUUGAUGAUAUUCACAAAAUUGGAGUGCUUAAUUGAGCCUGAUUAUAAUUCAGGGCUAAAACUCACUCCCCCUUGUAGUUGAGGUGGCUAAAUUAGACUUUUGGCCAUUUUUUUUUUUUAAUCUUCAGUGGCUCAUUUGUUAUUGCAUUUGGCUUUAAUAAUUCUCAGAACUUAACGAUACUGUUAUAGCAAUUAGGUAAUUGACAUUAAAGGCUCAAAAAAUACUUGGAAGAUGUUCUGCUUUGCAAACAAGCAAUCCCCUUCUGGUGCCUCUAUAGUGGUGUUGGAUUGGAUGAAUUGCUCAGGCCAAGAAUCGCCAUGCAAAUGAUCAAGAAUGCUGGACUCUUAAAUCUGCCAGAAUCAUUCUUGAUUUGCUUAAGCAGGCUUGUCAACUAAAUGACAGGUGAAAGGCCUGUAUAUGGAUGUAUGAAACAAACACAAGAGCAUAGGUACUGAACCUGUGCUUGACAGAAUUAAUCAGCUAGUUCAAAUUUUCUUUUGCUUCAAUUCUCACGGUAAGUGCCAAGUUGGUGGGUUUCUUGAACGCCUUUCUUGCAUAUUUUAAUUCAUCAUAUGUGUCAUUGCCACGCUAUAUCCAAUUGAUUUUGUUGGAGUGGACGGGCUAGCAUAAAAGUUAUUGAUCAUCAUUUAUAUCAAUUUGGCCCCGCAGCAUCAAUGAGAUUAUAAUGAUCAGAAUUUAUUGAUUUAUCAUCAGUCAAAUUAGAAAUUUUGAUGUUUAUUUUGUUUUCUUGGUUUUGCAGAUUGGGACUUAGCUGGCUUCCAUAAAGCACAAGAAUACACGAGCUCUAUGUGUGUGCCGGAGAUGCAGCAGUAGGAGUUCUUACCAUUGAUUUCUUUGGACAACCCCCAUUCUGGAAAGAUGUCUUUCUGGAUGUUAUCAAUUGUAUGUUGCUCCUCAGAUUUUGGAGUGUAGAAAAACUUUCAAAUGGAUUUUUGUAGGAAAAAAGGUGACUGGAUGUUUAAUACUUUCCAACUAUACGUGUUUUCACAAACUCUCACAUAUUAACCUUAUGUUGAGUUGUAGAGAUAUAGAACGCAUGCCAUGUUUAUAUCGAGUUGGUGUCUUAGGCUGAGCUAUCUUAGUACAUGGUUGUUGUAG